rnacentral:rRNA from 1 species
GGCCAGACUCCUACGGGAGGCAGCAGUGGGGAAUAUUGCACAAUGGGGGAAACCCUGAUGCAGCGACGCCGCGUGAAGGAAGAAGUAUUUCGGUAUGUAAACUUCUAUCAGCAGGGAAGAAAAUGACGGUACCUGACUAAGAAGCCCCGGCUAACUACGUGCCAGCAGCCGCGGUAAUACGUAGGGGGCAAGCGUUAUCCGGAUUUACUGGGUGUAAAGGGAGCGUAGGCGGUGCAGCAAGUCAGAAGUGAAAGCCCGGGGCUCAACUCCGGGACUGCUUUUGAAACUGUUGGACUAGAUUGCAGGAGAGGUAAGUGGAAUUCCUAGUGUAGCGGUGAAAUGCGUAGAUAUUAGGAGGAACACCAGUGGCGAAGGCGGCCUGCUGGACGAUGACUGACGUUGAGGCUCGAAAGCGUGGGGAGCAAGCAGGAUUAGAUACCCUAGUAACA